CGCGGGGUGGAGCAGCUUGGUAGCUCGUCGGGCUCAUAACCCGAAGGUCGUUGGUUCAAAUCCAGCCCCCGCAA
rfam:[Haemophilus] felis strain CCTG 31170 31170T_ctg_0000055, whole genome shotgun sequence.